rfam:Cucumis sativus cultivar 9930 chromosome 3, whole genome shotgun sequence.
AUACCUUUCUCGGCCUUUUGGCUAAGAUCAAGUGUAGUAUCUGUUCUUAUCAGUUUAAUAUCUGAUACGUGGGCCAUUGGCCCACAUGAUAUUAAAUUAAUUUAUUAAGGGGGAAGGCCACAGUGGUAGCUUGCUGCCACCGCCUUCGAGUGUCGCCCAUGCGUUGCACUGCUGCUUGGGUUUGGCGCACUCCUC